CUUCAUUUUGUGCUCGAGGAAGGUAAUGCAUUCAUAAUAGACUGAAAUCCUCAAUGGUGCCUCUAUGCUCAGCCCGCUAUGAAAAAACAGAACCACAGAUUAACUGUAUUAUUUGUUUUAUUAAUUUGUCAGAAUGCGUUUUCCGAAGGAGGCUGUACCGAAGAUCAUAUUUCUCAAUAUUUUCAGACGAAUAAUAAUAA